GCCGUAGGAGGCGAGCGUUGUCCGGAUUCAUUGGGCGUAAAGAGCACGCAGGCGGUUUGGCAAGUCGGACGUGAAAAUCCGGGGCUCAACCCCGGACCUGCAUCCGAAACUGCCCGACUAGAGGUAGGUAGGGGAGAUCGGAAUUCCUGGUGUAGCGGUGAAAUGCGCAGAUAUCAGGAGGAACACCGGUGGCGAAGGCGGAUCUCUGGGCCUUACCUGACGCUCAGGUGCGAAAGCUAGGGGAGCGAACAGG
rnacentral:rRNA from 1 species